GCAUGGUCAUGGCCCACAGCAUCAGCAUCUGGUGAAGGAGUGGGCAUGCAGCAAAGUGGCUGCAGGAAUUUGUGGCUGCCAGACCCACUUGAAGUGUGCACGGAGAGACAGGACCAGAAAGGAGAAGAAAAAAGAAAGAAUCAAAUAUUGGAGCUGAGGUUCAUGUCACUGCCUCCUCUGAAGACCUGAUUUUGUGGUGCUAAAUCAGUGCAUUUGUCAAGAUGGAAGAAAGUGGAGAAAGGGUGCUUCACAGAAGGUGGAGGACAGGAAGAGAAGCCAGGCCAGGGAGCCCAGGUAUAUGGAAGAGUCUUUGGGAGUCGAUACAAAGGUUUGCAGAAAGAGAAAAGCAGUAUCGACCAAUAUCCAAUAUCUCCUCAUGAAGUGACCUUGGGGAUACAGUAGACUUCAGUGCUGAGGACCAAGAGAUUUAUCAGCCAUCCCACAGGGAAAGGCAAGUUUGAUUUGGCUGCUGGG